rnacentral:rRNA from 1 species
CAGUAGCCGCGGUAAUACGUAGGGUGCGAGCGUUAAUCGGAAUUACUGGGCGUAAAGCGUGCGCAGGCGGUUGUGUAAGACAGGUGUGAAAUCCCCGGGCUUAACCUGGGAACUGCGCUUGUGACUGCACAGCUAGAGUAUGGCAGAGGGGGGUGGAAUUCCACGUGUAGCAGUGAAAUGCGUAGAGAUGUGGAGGAACACCGAUGGCGAAGGCAGCCCCCUGGGCCAAUACUGACGCUCAUGCACGAAAGCUAGGGGAGCAAACAGGAUUAGAUACCCCGGUAGUCCCUGUCUCUUAUAU